GUGCCCUCUUCAGCAGCACGUAUACUAAAAUUAGAAUGAUACAAAGAAGAUUAGCCUGGCCCCUUGCAAACGCAAAUUUGUGAAGCGUUCCAGUUUUUU
ensembl:snRNA U6 U6 spliceosomal RNA